UGGGGAAUAUUGGGCAAUGGGGGAAACCCUGACCCAGCAACGCCGCGUGAAGGAAGAAGGCUUCGGGUUGUAAACUUCUUUUACCAGGGACGAAGGACGUGACGGUACCUGGAGAAAAAGCAACGGCUAACUACGUGCC
rnacentral:rRNA from 1 species